rnacentral:rRNA from 1 species
GAUGAACGCUGGCGGCGUGCCUAAUACAUGCAAGUCGAGCGAACAGACGAGGAGCUUGCUCCUCUGACGUUAGCGGCGGACGGGUGAGUAACACGUGGAUAACCUACCUAUAAGACUGGGAUCACUUCGGGAAACCGGAGCUAAUACCGGAUAAUAUAUUGAACCGCAUGGUUCAAUAGUGAAAGACGGUUUUGCUGUCACUUAUAGAUGGAUCCGCGCCGCAUUAGCUAGUUGGUAAGGUAACGGCUUACCAAGGCAACGAUGCGUAGCCGACCUGAGAGGCGGAUCGGCCACACGGGAACUGGGACGCGGUCCAGGCGCCUACGGGAGGCAGCAGUAGGGAAUCUUCCGCAGUGGGCGGAAGCUUGGCGGAGCAACGCCGCGUGAGUGAUGAAGGUCUUCGGAGCGUAAAACUCUGUUAUUAGGGAAGAACAAAUGUGUAAGUAACUAUGCACGUCUUGACGGUACCUAAUCAGAAAGCCACGGCUAACUACGUG